UACAGAGGUCCCAAGCGUUGUUCGGAUUCACUGGGCGUAAAGGGUGCGUAGGCGGGUCUUUAAGUCAGGGGUGAAAUCCUGGAGCUCAACUCCAGAACUGCCUUUGAUACUGAGGAUCUUGAGUCCGGGAGAGGUGAGUGGAACUGCGAGUGUAGAGGUGAAAUUCGUAGAUAUUCGCAAGAACACCAGUGGCGAAGGCGGCUCACUGGCCCGGUACUGACGCUGAGGCACGAAAGCGUGGGGAGCAAACAGG
rnacentral:rRNA from 1 species